rnacentral:rRNA from 1 species
CCCAGACUCCUACGGGAGGCAGCAGUGGGGGAUAUUGCACAAUGGGGGGAACCCUGAUGCAGCGACGCCGCGUGGGUGAAGGAGCGUUUCGGCGCGUAAAGCCCUAUCGGCAGGGAAGAAGGAGGACGGUACCUGACUAAGAAGCCCCGGCUAACUACGUGCCAGCCGCCGCGGUAAUACGUAGGGGGCAAGCGUUAUCCGGAUUUACUGGGGGUAAAGGGGGCGCAGACGGCAGCGCAAGCCAGGAGUGAAAGCCCGGGGCCCAACCCCGGGACUGCUCUUGGAACUGGGCGGCUGGAGUGCGGGAGGGGCAGGCGGAAUUCCUGGUGUAGCGGUGAAAUGCGUAGAUAUCAGGAGGAACACCGGUGGCGAAGGCGGCCUGCUGGACUGCGACUGACGUUGAGGCCCGAAAGCGUGGGGAGCAAACAGGAUUAGAUACCCUCGUACAU